GAACCAAUCACUGAGGCCAGAGGGAUGAAAUCCAUUGAUUGGUUUCUCCUGGGUUACAUGUCCCAUGCCUGCAUCCAGGGAUGGUACCAUCUUCCCCAGAGUAACAUGAGUUCUCAGAUGGGAAUUGAGAGCUGUUAGGAAGGUUAAGUUGGGAGGGGAGGGAAUAGAUGCUAGAAAGCAUGAACACGUGAUGGAUGCCCCCUCCAUCCAUGAAUGACAGCUGACAUUGAUAGAGCCCAUGCUGGUUCAUGAACCAUUUGUUAUUUUCCAGGAUGAGAUGAAAAGAGUAAUUGAGGCAGGAGAAUGGAGAGUCCAGGAAAAGAGAAGGAGAGCAAGAGGAACAAGGGACACUGAGGAGAAGGAGGAAGAGGAGGAGAAAGGAAAAAAGAAAAGGAAAGAAGAAGAAUGAGGAAAGAAAGACAAAGAGUUUACAUAUCUGUGAAGGUUGAAUCAACUCCAUCUUGGAUGCUAAUCUGCCAUGUUAGCUUCUGAUUAACCCGUUUUGGGAAAGCCUCUGAGAUUUCCAGUUUAUCUGUUGUUCGUCGUGUAAGAGGACUGUACUUCCUGCAAAUCCUGCCCUCAGGGCAAUUUCCUACCUAUUCUCUGUGAAACAUGUAUGCCUCUCCCCUAGAGUAUAUAAUCUCUGGGUCUGGAGGCUAUUGGUGCCGCAGGGAUCCACCAUCUUGUCUUUCCACCACCCAAGACACAGGCAUGGUUUCUGUUCCUAAGCCCCUAUUAAAUAUUUCUUCCUAAGAAACUGGAUUUGUCAGCCUCUUUCUUCAGCUUCUCAGCUUCCUCAGACUUUGGGGUAGGUUUGCAUAGGCCUGCCCAAGGCAAAACAGUAUUAUUUUCACAUACCUUAUUAUCUUAUUUUAUUCUUCCAGAAGUUCGGAGAGGACAGAGAAAACAGUGUACUAGUUAGGAAUAUUUUGGUUGCAAGCAACAGAAAAAUCCAACUUAAAAUACUAAGGAAAAAAGAAAUGGGGAGAGGGGUCAAUGAGAAGAUUGUUGGCUCACAUAACUGAAUUGCCCUGUAAUAUUCUGAUUCAGGAAUGGUUUGAUCGAGGAGUUCAUGCUACCAUUAAGGCUCUGGCUUUGUUCCUGGAUGAUUCUUUCAGCUGCCUUGUUGGCUUCCUCUUCAGGUUGACUCUUCCAUAGUACAAUAUUUCUGGCCUCCUAUUCUCAUAGCCUCACAUCACACUGCACAAAAAGCAGACAGAUGCUUCUGGUAGGUCUUUUGGAAGAUGGAGCACUUGUCUGUCCCAGAAACCUCAGAAAACCUUUUCACAUGUCACAUUAGUGUGAACUAGGUCAGAUGCCCAUCCUUCAACCAAACUACAGUGAACAAGGGAUAGUAGGCACUUAUUGGCUUAAGCCAAUCCAGACCUACUCUAGAGCUGGGGGUGAGAUCAAUCUCGGUGAAAACAACAGAGCUGAAGAUGGUGAGUAGUUACCUAUGGAACCUACAUCAAAUCCUUAAUUAAUGUAGUUUCCUACGGAAAACGUUAAGUGCGUGGUAGGAAGGGGGGAUAUGAUCUGGGGGAACAACCCAGUAUUCCAUCACACGGUGGUUCAGAAAGGUUAAGAGACAUGUCAAAGUCACACAAAUUAUGACUGGUGGGAUGAAAAUAGAAAAUUUUUGUCUCAAAUCUUCUACCAUAAACAUGAGCCUUCCUUAGAAAACUGAAGGAUUUUCCCACCAUCCUCAUACUUAUCUACCAUCUCUGUUCUUAGAAAAGCACCGGAAAACCCCUGGUAUCAUUCUGAGCCAGGAAAUUCCUGUCCACGCCUGCUGAAGACACAGAGCCCAAACUCCAGAUAAUAGAGGAAGUGAGACUUGUUGACAUUGUCCUUCAUGCAUAGAAAUUCCCUCCAAGGCCGGGCAUCGUGGCUCACACUUGUAAUCCCAGCACUUUGGGAGGCCAAGGUGGGCAGAUCCCUUGAGCUCAAGAGUUCAGGACCACCCUGGCCAACAUGACAAAAUCCUGUCUCUACAAAAAUUAGCCAGGUGCAGUGGUGUGUGCCUGUAGUCCCAGCUACUUGGGAGGCUGACGUGGGAGAAUCACUUGAGUUUGGGAGGCAGAGGUUGCAGUGAGCUGAGAUUGCGCCCACUGCAGCCUGCCUGGGCUGUGGGAGUGAAAACCUGUCUCAAAAAAAAAAAAAAAAAAAAAAAAGAAAGAAAGAAAGAAAGAAAGAAAUUCCUCUAAUGUUGUCACAGGAAGUAGCUUGACAGAAGCAAGUCUCAGUUAUUUUUUCACAGAUCCACACCCUUCCAAGUCAAGUUGAGAUUUAAAGUAGGCAAGUCCAUUCCUCACAUCACAAAUCAAAUCACCAUGACGAUGACCUCCCCAAUCAUGCUGCUUUCCCCAAGAUUCCAAUUCACUUUAAUAAGAAUCAUCUCCUACCACGAUGCCUGGAACUGGCCAACAGUACCUCUAGCUACCAUGUCCUGAGUUCCUCUGAGCUAUGGGCCGUGUACCAAAGUUCUUCCAACAAUUUAAGCCAGGAAUUGCCCCACUGUUUCCGAGGUGAUGAGAGCCUCUGAGAGAUGAGAAAACUGAGGCACAUAGGGUUAAGUAGAUUGUCCAAGGUCACUGCUGAUAACUGCAGCACUGGGAUUUGAAGCACUGAACUCUGCUGACUCCUGAGAAGCAUACCUCUAACAGCUGAGAUUUCCAAGGCUUUUUGGCCAAUGUGUUUGUCAACAUCUGCAACAAAUUUCCAGAACUCAGGCCAGAGCCCUGGGCAAAGCCUCCUUUUUUGUCUCCUCUUUUUAUCUCCCAGUGCAGUAGGAAGCCAUCAGAUGAUUUUAAAUGGAGAAGUAAGACACUUGGAUCUGUGCCUAAAAGAAUCACUCUGCUGUUGAGUUCCUGAGAAGCAGACUCUGAGAUAGAGAUCAUUUUGUGGGAAGCUUAUUGGGAGGUGCUCUUGGGAUCCACACCUGUAGAAGCCUCUUUGCUCCCCACACUUCAGGACUGGC
rnacentral:lncRNA from 1 species